rnacentral:rRNA from 1 species
GACAGAGGUGCCGAGCGUUAGGCGGAAUCACUGGGCUUAAAGCGUGUGUAGGCGGGCGGGCAAGUACCUUGUGGAAUCCCACGGCUCAACCGUGGAACGGCUGGGUAUACUGCCUGUCUUGAGCCAACUAGGGGCGAGCGGAACAGACGGUGGAGCGGUGAAAUGCGUAGAUAUCGUCUGGAACGCCAAAGGUGAAAACAGCUCGCUGGGGUUGUGCUGACGCUGGAGACACGAAAGCCAGGGGAGCGAACGGG